CAGGCAGCUUUUGGUGGAAAGAUUUAUCCUAACAGACUUCCUUACCAAACCAGAGUCUCCUGAUGGUGGGAAUGAACAAGGUCAGUUUGGAGAAAUCUCAGCAAGAUUAAAACAAGUUUAUUUCAAGUAAUCAGACUUCUUACAAAACAGAAUAUAUGGCAGGUUGCAGGCCAAACAGGACAAGAUUACUAUCAAAUGCUAAAUGUACAGCCAAGUUCUGCAUGCUUCACCAAACUCCAUGGAACAUAUAGGCCACAAAGAUGGCCUUUGUGCUUCACUACGCAAGGUAGUACAUUGGGUUCUCAAGGAUUGAAAGGCACACAAAUUGUACCAGGAGACACAGGCUCAAACCUUAAAAACACCAGUACUCAUGGCUCUCAAGGCAGCUAGACAAGACCAACCAACUCCAUGAUUCCCUGCAGUUCUACAUUUUUAAUAUACAUCCAUCAGUUGAAGAAAAUUUAAAUUGUUUCCAUUUUCCUAGCAUUGUGAUUAGAUCAGCAGUGAAUGUGGCUUAACAAGUAUCUGUAAAGUAGGAUAUAAUGUCAUUUGGACAUAGACCAUAGAGUGGUAUGGCACAAUUAUUUUUAGCUUUUUAAGAAUUCUCUACACUGAUUUCUAGAAAUGUUGGACCACUUUGUCAUCCAUCAACUAAUGAAUGGGGGUCUCCUUUUCCAUCCAUGCCCUCCAGCAUUGGUUGUGAGUUGUUUUGUUAAUAUUUGCCAUUCUGACUUGGAUAAGAGGAAAUCUCAAAGCUGUUUUAACUUGCAUUUCCCUAAUUUGUAGAGAAGAUUAACAUAUUUCUUACCCAUUUUUCUUUCUCCUUUUGGGAACUCUGUUCAGUUCCCAUGCAGAUUUUUUUUUUUAAUGAGCCAGGGUUGAUUUUGUUGUUGUUGUUUUUAAUCUUACAUUUUUGUUUGUAUGUUUUUUUUAGUUCUUCCUAUAUUCGGAAUAUUACUCCCCUGUUGGAUGUACAACUGGCAAAUACUCUCUUCCUGGAAGAAAACAGUGCAAUUUCCCUUCAUCCACCUGAUCAAUACCGUUAUUGAAGAAACUCUGUUCCCGUGUGUGGCAUGCCAGUGCUAGAGAUGAAGCCAGAGUUUCCCCCGUGGCAAGAGAUGCUCUGCCACUGAACCGCCCGCUGCUUUCAAGAAACGACAAGAAUGCUUUUCCUUCUGC